rnacentral:rRNA from 1 species
UACGUAGGUGGCAAGCGUUGUCCGGAAUCAUUGGGCGUAAAGCGCGUGUAGGCGGUCCGGUAAGUCCGCUGUGAAAGUCGGGGGCUCAACCCUCGGAUGCCGGUGGAUACUGUCGGGCUUGAGUACGGAAGAGGCGAGUGGAAUUCCUGGUGUAGCGGUGAAAUGCGCAGAUAUCAGGAGGAACACCAGUGGCGAAGGCGGCGACCUGGGCCAAUACUGACGCUGAGGUGCGAAAGCGUGGGGAGCAAACAGG